GUAGGGAAUAUUGGGCAAUGGGCGAAAGCCUGACCCAGCAACGCCGCGUGUACGAUGAAGGUCUUCGGAUCGUAAAGUACUUUUCUGGGAGAUGAGAAAGGACAGUAUCCCAGGAAUAAGCUUCGGCUAACUACGUGCCAGCAGCCGCGGUAAAACGUAGGAAGCGAGCGUUAUCCGGAUUUACUGGGCGUAAAGCGCGUGUAGGCGGUUUGGUAAGUUGGAUGUGAAAUCUCUCGGCUCAACUGGGAGAGGUCGUUCAAAACUACCAGACUAGAGGACAGUAGAGGAAGGUGGAAUUCCCGGUGUAGUGGUGAAAUGCGUAGAUAUCGGGAGGAACACCAGUGGCGAAAGCGGCCUUCUGGACUGUAUCUGACGCUCAGACGCGAAAGCUAGGGGAGCGAACGGGAUUAGAAACCCCAGUAGUCC
rnacentral:rRNA from 1 species